UCUCCGUAGGUGAACCUGCGGAGGGAUCAUUACCGAGUGAGGGCCCCCGGCCCGACCUCCAACCCUUUGUUAUCAAAACCACUGUUGCCUCGGGGGCGACCCGGGCCUGUCGGCCCAGGGCCCCCGGUGGACAAUUUCAAAACACUGCAUCUUUGCGUCGGAUUACAAAAGUUUAAUUGACUAAAACUUUCAACAACGGAUCUCUUGGUUCUGGCAUCGAUGAAGAACGCAGC
rnacentral:misc_RNA from 1 species